UAUGUUAAGUGAAAUAAGCCAGGCACAGAAAGACAAACAUCACAUGUUCUCACUUAUUUGUAGGAUUUAAAAAUCAAAACAACUGAACUCAUGGACAUAGAGAGUAGAAGGAUGGAUACUAGCAGCUGGAAAGGGUAAUGGGGAAUCGUCACUUACAUUGGGUAUUUCUCCUAAUGCCAUCCCUCCCCCAGGCCCCCACCCCCCAAUAGGCCCUGGUGUGUGAUGUUCCCCACCCUGUGUCCAUAUGUUCCCAAUAUCCAUUUUCCCUACCAUCAGAAAUUAAAGCAUUAUAAAGUGACUGCAAUGAAAAUAGUUCGAUUCUGAAACUUAAUAGAAAGAUAGAUCAAUGCAACAAAAUAUAAUAUAGAAACAGAGUCAAAUGAUUUAGGAAUUUAGUAAAUCAUAAGGGUAAUAUUUUAUAUCAGUGGAGAGAAUAUGGAUUGUUCAAUAAAUGAUACUAGAACAACAAAGCUCCUGUUUGGGGGAAAAUACAAUUAAUUCAUUUCUCACUCCCUACAACAAAAAUAAAUUGACGAUGUAUUAAAAAUUAAAUGUAAUAAAAAGUAAAGCAAAUAUGCAGGAAAGCUGGAAGUUGUCUUUUAUAAAAAUACAAUCUUGAGUAGGAAUGGCUUUUGUAGUUAAGACACAAAACCCAGAUGCUAUAAAACACUGGCUCACAACCUUGGCUGUAUGUUAGAAUCAUCUAAGGAACUUGCAAAAAGUUUCCAUCCUUGGACUCCGCUCUGAACUAAAUAAAUCAGAACCUCUGGGGAUG
rnacentral:lncRNA from 10 species